GACGAACGCUGGCGGCGUGCUUAACACAUGCAAGUCGAGCGGAGCGGCGAACGGGUGAGUACCGAGUGAGUAACUGCCCCCCUCUCUGGUAUAACAGUUGGAAACGGCUGCUAAUACCGGAUAGUGGGGGAUGACUCGCGUCCGAUCGGCUUGUUGGUGGGGUAGUGGCCCACAAAGGCGACGACGGGUAGCCGGCCUGAGAGGGCGACCGGCCAAAUUGGGCGGUGAUACGGCCCGAACUCCAACGGGAGGCAGCAGUGGGGAAUAUAGCACGAUGGUGGAAACCCUGAUGCAGCAACGCCGCGUGCGGGAGGACGGCCGUCGGGUUGUAAACCGCUGUCAGCCAUGAGGCGUUAGUGGCAGAAUAAGCACCGGCUAACUUCGUGCCAGCAGCCGCGGUAAUUC
rnacentral:rRNA from 1 species